CAGCAGCAGCCGCGGUAAUACGUAGGUCCCGAGCGUUGUCCGGAUUUACUGGGCGUAAAGGGCGCGUAGGCGGACUGAUAAGUCAGGGGUGAAAUCCCAAGGCUCAACCUUGGAACUGCCUUUGAUACUGUUUGUCUUGAGUUCGAGAGAGGUAAGUGGAACUGCGAGUGUAGAGGUGAAAUUCGUAGAUAUUCGCAAGAACACCAGUGGCGAAGGCGGCUUACUGGCUCGAAACUGACGCUGAGGCGCGAAAGCGUGGGGAGCAAACAGGAUUAGAUACCCCCGUAGUCCCUGUCUCUUAUAU
rnacentral:rRNA from 1 species